UCUCAAAUCAGGUAGGACUACCCGCUGAACUUAAGCAUAUCAAUAAGCGGAGGAAAAGAAACUAACAAGGAUUCCCCUAGUAACUGCGAGUGAAGCGGGAAGAGCUCAAAUUUAAAAUCUGGCAGCCCUUGUGGUUGUCCGAGUUGUAAUCUAGAGAAGUGCUAUCCGCGCUGGACCGUGUACAAGUCUCCUGGAAUGGAGCGUCACAGAGGGUGAGAAUCCCGUCUUUGACACGGACCCCCAGGGCUUAUGUGAUGCGCUCUCAAAGAGUCGAGUUGUUUGGGAAUGCAGCUCUAAAUGGGUGGUAAAUUCCAUCUAAAGCUAAAUAUUGGCGAGAGACCGAUAGCGAACAAGUACCGUGAGGGAAAGAUGAAAAGAACUUUGGAAAGAGAGUUAAACAGUACGUGAAAUUGUUGAAAGGGAAACGCUUGAAGUCAGUCGCGUUGGCCAGGGAUCAACCUUGCUCUUUUGCUUGGUGUACUUCCUGGCUCAACGGGUCAGCAUCAAUUUUGACCGGUGGAUAAAGGUCAGGGGAAUGUGGCAUCUUCGGAUGUGUUAUAGCCCUUGGUCGCAUACAUCGGUUGGGAUUGAGGAACUCAGCAUGCCGCAAGGCCGGGUCUCUGAACCCGACCAUUGCGUCUAGGA
rnacentral:rRNA from 1 species